rnacentral:rRNA from 1 species
UACGAAGGGUGCAAGCGUUACUCGGAAUUACUGGGCGUAAAGCGUGCGUAGACGGUUAUUUAAGUCGGAUGUGAAAGCCCCGGGCUCAACCUGGGAAUUGCAUUCGAGACUGAAUAGCUAGGGUACGGUAGAGGGAAGUGGAAUUUCCGGUGUAGCGGUGAAAUGCGUAGAUAUCGGAAGGAACAUCAGUGGCGAAAGCGACUUCCUGGACCAGUACCGACGUUCAGGCACGAAAGCGUGGGGAGCAAACAGG